UACGUAGGGGGGCUAGCGUUGUCCGGAUUUAUUGGGCGUAAAGAGCGUGUAGGCGGCCAGGUAGGUCUGGUGUGAAAACUCGAGGCUUAACCUCGAGAUGUCAUCGGAAACCAUCUGGCUAGAGUCCGGAAGAGGAGAGUGGAAUUCCUGGUGUAGCGGUGAAAUGCGCAGAUAUCAGGAAGAACACCAAUGGCGAAAGCAGCUCUCUGGGACGGUACUGACGCUGAGACGCGAAAGCCAGGGGAGCAAACGGG
rnacentral:rRNA from 1 species